rnacentral:rRNA from 1 species
GCUUGUCUCAAAGAUUAAGCCAUGCAUGUCUAAGUAUAAAUGUUAUACAGUGAAACUGCGAAUGGCUCAUUAAAACAGUUAUAGUUUAUUUGAUAAUCGAAUUUACAUGGAUAACCGUGGUAAUUCUAGAGCUAAUACAUGCUAUCAAGCCCGACUUCUUGAAGGGUUGUAUUUAUUAGACUUAAGCCAAUAUUCCUUGUGUCUAUUGCGAUGAUUCAUAAUAACUGAUCGAAUCUCAAAUUUGAGAUAAAUCAUUCAAGUUUCUGCCCUAUCAGCUUUGGAUGGUAGGGUAUUGGCCUACCAUGGCUUUAACGGGUAACGGAGAAUUAGGGUUCGAUUCCGGAGAGGGAGCCUGAGAAACGGCUACCACAUCCAAGGAAGGCAGCAGG